rnacentral:tRNA from 1 species
GCAGUGGUGCUUCAGUGGUAGAACUUUCCCCUUCUGUAUGGGAAGCCCAGGUUCCAUUCCUGGCCAAUGCC